rnacentral:rRNA from 1 species
UACAGAGGUCUCAAGCGUUGUUCGGAUUCAUUGGGCGUAAAGGGUGCGUAGGCGGCGCGGUAAGUCGGGUGUGAAAUCUCGGGGCUUAACUCCGAAACUGCAUUCGAUACUGCCGUGCUUGAGGACUGGAGAGGAGACUGGAAUUUACGGUGUAGCGGUGAAAUGCGUUGAUAUCGGAAGGAACGCCGGUGGCGAAAGCGACGCACUGGACCUCUUCUGACGCUGAGGCGCGAAAGCGUGGGGAGCAAACAGG